ensembl:lncRNA
AAAGGGAAGAGGCACCUCCAGUGACAGCAUCUAACCCAGAGCCUGGCACGCACAAGAUGCUCAGCCGCUGUUUGUGGAGUGAAUAAACAAGCCCGGCACUGGAUGCUUGACGCUGCCUCAAUGCUUGGGGCCCUGGGUGUGGACGGAGUGCUGACCGCAGCCCGGCAUCUUCAAGGGUUGCAUGUGGCACCUUGGCUGUCUCAUUUAUAAUCCAUGAGACAGUCAUUGUAUUCCAGAUUGCUCUUCACUGUCAUUUUAGCCUUUAGCUGCUUACUGAAAUGAGCUAAUUAAAGCUGAAUUAUUUUAAUUGCUAAUCAUCAAGAAAAAAGGUUUUUUUUUU